CAGAACUGAUGAAGCCAUAUAGUAAUACUGUCAAUUUCACAUUAUCAGAUUAAUGGAUAUUAUAGAUAUAACGAGUAGCUAGCUGAUAUGAGUGUGAUUCUGUUUGAUAUGGAUCAUAGUCUGUUUGUUGGGAGAUUAUUUAGUGCACAUGCACCCUUACUCACAUUCAUGUGGGGUUCGCUUUACUUAAAUUAAGGAAGACUCACAUUUUUGUGAGUAAGGGAGCAUUACACCCGGUGUAUACAAUUGCCUUAUUUGUGUAGUGAUUACCAAAAAUGUUUUCCUAUAAUAUAGUGGCCUAUAAGUUUGUGUACUUUUAGUUCAUCAUAUACAAAAUUAAUUAAUUAAUUAAUU
rnacentral:misc_RNA from 1 species